rnacentral:rRNA from 1 species
AUUGAACGCUGGCGGCAUGCUUUACACAUGCAAGUCGAACGGCAGCGCGGGCUUCGGCCUGGCGGCGAGUGGCGAACGGGUGAGUAAUGCAUCGGAACGUGCCCAGUAGUGGGGGAUAGCCCGGCGAAAGCCGGAUUAAUACCGCAUACGACCUGAGGGUGAAAGCGGGGGACCGAAAGGCCUCGCGCUAUUGGAGCGGCCGAUGUCGGAUUAGCUAGUUGGUGGGGUAAAGGCUUACCAAGGCGACGAUCCGUAGCUGGUCUGAGAGGACGACCAGCCACACUGGGACUGAGACACGGCCCAGACUCCUACGGGAGGCAGCAGUGGGGAAUUUUGGACAAUGGGGGCAACCCUGAUCCAGCCAUGCCGCGUGCGGGAAGAAGGCCUUCGGGUUGUAAACCGCUUUUGUUCGGGAAGAAAUCCUCUGGGCUAAUACCCCGGGGGGAUGUCGGUACCGGAAGAAUAAGCACCGGCUAACUACGUG